UUGAAAGAAUCAAAGUGUUAUAGAAUAUCUGUUACUGUGUUAGUAGAGCAUGUCGUUAUUUUUAUUUAGUUGUUAAGCUUUUUCUUGCUUGUUGUUUAUGAAAAUCCCAAUGUAAAUAAGUUAAGCUAUAAGAUUAAAUAUGAUUUCACGUGUAUUCAGGGGUGUAAUUAUGGGUCCACCGGGUUCUGGUAAGGGAACGAUUUCAUCCCGUAUAGCACAAAGCUUUGUGGUUACACAUCUCUCCAGUGGCGACUUGCUUAGAGCACAGAUUCAGGAAGGAACUAUUGCAGGUGUUCAAGCCAGUCAGUAUAUUGAAAAAGGAGAGCUAGUUCCAGAUGAUCUUGUUGUCCAGUUGAUUCUUGCAGAACUACAUACUAGUUUGAAGAAUAAAAACUGGUUGUUGGAUGGAUUUCCGAGUACAGUAUCGCAGGCUAAAACUCUUCAGAAAAACUUCUCCUUAUCGUGUGUUUUGAGCUUAAAUGUACCUGAUGAUGUUAUCAUCGAAAGGGUUAAGAACCGGUGGGUACAUGCAGGAAGUGGCAGGACAUACCACAUACAGUUUAAACCUCCCAAAGUUCCCGGUUUAGAUGAUGUGACAGGAGAACCACUGAUCCAGAGACAAGAUGACAAACCUGAGACGGUUGAAACUAGACUAAGGAACUAUAAGAAACAAUCUACAUCUGUGCUGGAAUUUUAUAGGGAGAGGGGAUUACUGCAGGAGUUCACAGGAAGAGAAUCAAAUGAAAUUUGGCCUCGAGUUCAAGCAUACCUUUCAUCAUUAAUAGAUAAGAAGCAAGACAAAAGUGUUAAAAGACUCAAGAUAACAUAGAAAUGAAUGAGUUUCUAUUUACAGCAUGCUGUUGAAACAAUUCAUAGACUGUCUUUUGGAAGGGGUUUCAUAUUCUUACUGUAUCUCAAGAAAAAGCUUUUUAUAUGUUGUUUCAUACUGUCAUCUGUUAAAAACCUUCCUGUUUAGCCUUUGCCAAAAGUUUUUAAUGUCCAAAUAAUAAUUUUAUUGCUUUCUAAAUCUUUUAUUUAGUAUCCUUCUGAAGGAAUAUUUGUUAAAUUGACAGAAUCUAAUCUGAUGUGUAUACAGAUUUUAUUUUGUGAAGUAUAAAUCAUUUUAUUGACUUUCAUUUAAGAAGUAAUAACUAAAUAAUUCAAAAAUUACCAAAGAUACAGAAUCUGAGUAGAGGAUUUCUUGUAUUGUUUCAUAGCUGAUUGUUUUUCAUAAACUUUAAAUUAAGCCAACUUUUGGAACUUGAGAAGAAGCAAACAGUUUAAAAGCAUUGAAGCAACAAGGGUGUAGCCAAAGUAGAGCCCAUACUGUAACCCAUCAUUUGAUAGAGUAGGGUUAAAUUAUAAUUAGUGAGUUUUGGUGCAAAACCUUUUGAACAUGCAUUUUGUAGCAAAAAAAUAGAAUUAUAUUAUUUUUUAUACCUGAAUAUUCAAGAGAGAGAUAUCUUCAUUAUUUGUAAGGAUUCUAGUAGGUAUUGUUGAAUAUUUGUAGUUUUCUAGCUCCAUGAGCAACUUGUUCAUAAUGAAGGUCAAAUCCAGUGAGUGUUUUCACAGAAUAGUGUGUCUGAAUUUAUCAUCCUAUGAUUCAAUUUAUGGGAAUUAUCAAAAAUAAUUUAUAAAAUAGAUAAUUUCAACACCUCAGCAUAUUGGUUUAGAUUAUGAUGGUUGUACUUUGGUACGUGAAACUAUUACAUUAUACUGUGUGAUUAGAAUUGUUUCUGUAAGAGACUUGCUGUAGGAUUUUCAUAUAGGUUUUUGUUUGUUUGUUUGUUUGUUUGUAGUUAAGUACAAAGCUGCACAAUGGGCUAUCUGUGCUCUGCCCACCACGGGUAUUGAAACCUGGUUUCUAGCAUUGUAAGUCUGCAGACAUACCACUGUGCCACUUGGGGGGGCUAUAUAGGUUUUAUUAGUGUCUAUUUGCUUAUAGUAACUUUUGAAGUUUCUUUAUCAUAAGUAUAGAAUGUUCAUGAAUUGAUAAAGUACUUUUUGAUCUUGUUAAGCUACUAAUGAUGUUGGAUGUGCUGUAAAAAACAUAUACUUUGUUUUUCUUGUGUAUUUUGAUUAUGUUUAUUUUGACUUUGUUAUCUAACUUUCAACAGAAUUAACUGACCUACAAACUGUAUACAUAGAUACUGUAAGGUAACCAAUAUAAAACAUGCUUCCACUAAAUUCAAAAAACUAUUCCUUGAAGAAGUACUUCACACCUUGUCAGCUUAGAAAAGAUAAAGAAAAUCCAUUUUUUCUAAAUCUAAACAGUCCAAAGGAUAGAUAGGUCUACUAAAUUGGAAGUUGUAAUAUUUUCUUCUUGUAAUGUGUAUUUACUGAUCAUAUUGGUGCAGGGAUGACAUCACUAACAUUUAUUGAUGAUAUUGGUGCAAUGGUACCAUUACCAAUGUGUAUUGAUGAUAGAAGUGUCAUUACCAACAUUUAUUGAUAUUAUUGGUGCAGGGGUGAUGGCAUUUUAAAACCUUGCCUAGGGUAAAAAAAAUACCUAAAGCUUUCCCUAGAAGCAUUUAGUGGAGCUCAUUUUAAUGUAACUUUCAUCUGAAAGAUUAGCUGUCAAUGUUUAAAGAACUAUUUUACUUCCAUUCCAGAGUGACUAUCUUCAACUUUUGAAUACUGUGUAUUUUAUAUGAACACAAACCUUUGUGUAAGCUGGUGAUAUUACACGCACUUGUAAAGUAAAUAUAAAAUUAUUUGGGUUUAUAUUCUUAUGAAAAGUCUACCUUGAACACAUGGUGCACUUUAAAGGUAAAUAUAGAGUCACUUGGGUUUAGAUCGUUAUGAAAAGUCUACCUUGAACACAUGGUGCACUUUAAAGGUAAAUAUAGAGUCACUUGAGUGUAGAUCGUAAAGAUAAGUCUACCUUGAACACAUGGUGCGCUUUAAAGGUAAAUAUAGAGUCACUUGAGUGUAGAUCGUAAAGAUAAGUCUACCUUGAACACAUGGUGCGACUUUAAAGGUAAAUAUAGAGUCACUUGAGUGUAGAUCGUAAAGAUAAGUCUAGCUUGAACACAUGGUGCACUUGUAAAGGUAAAUAUAGAGUCACUUGGGUUUAGAUCGUUAUGAAAAGUCUAGCUUGAACACAUGGUGCACUUGUAAAGGUAAAUAUAGAGUCACUUGGGUUUAGAUCGUUAUGAAAAGUCUAGCUUGAACACAUGGUGCACUUUAAAGGUAAAUAUAGAGUCACUUGGGUUUAGAUCGUUAUGAUAGGUCUAGCUUGAACACAUGGUGCACUUGUAAAGGUAAAUAUAGAGUCACUUGGGUUUAGAUCGUUAUGAAAAGUCUAGCUUGAACACAUGGUGCACUUUAAAGGUAAAUAUAGAGUCACUUGGGUGUAGAUCGUAAAGAUAAAUCUACCUUGAACACAUGGUGCACUUUAAAGGUAAAUAUAGAGUCACUUGGGUGUAGAUCGUAAAGAUAAAUCUACCUUGAACACAUGGUGCACUUGUAAAGGUAAAUAUAAAGUCACUUGUGUUGAUAUUGUUAUGAUAAGUCUACCUUAAACACAUGGUCUUUUUCUGAAACAGUGCUCAAUAUCUGUUUGCUUUGAGCUAGAGUAGUUAAGAAAAUACCUUACACAUUGUUGGAAAUUUCUUGUAUUUUCAUCAAAUGGUUUGUGGUAAAAGGUUUCUCUAUAAAAGUAAUAGAUUAAAUGCUGAUCUGAAUGCAGAUAAAAUUAUUUUUUAUAUUGGAAAUUUGUUGUUUUUAUACCAGUUUGACAUAUGGACUUAUACUUUACUUAUUGCAAAAAUUGAAAUUAUGUUUUGUGGUAAUAUAAUUCCAAUAAUUUACUUGUAAAAGCAUGAUGUCUAAUUUAAUGCCAGUCAAAGAAUCAUUAAUUUUUCACUAGUCACUUAUCUAUCUAUUUAUACUGUUUAAAAGCAUGAUGUCUAAUUUAAUAACAUUCAAAGAAUCAUUAAUUUUUAACUAGUCACCUGACUGUUUAUACUGUUUAAAACAUGAUGUCUAAUUUAAUGCCAGUCAAAGAAUCAUUAAUUCUUAAGUAGUCACCUGACUGUUUAAAAGCAUGAUGUCUAAUUUAAUGCCAGUCAAACAAUCAUUAAUUUUUCACUAGUCACCUAUCUAUUUAUUUAUACUGUUUAAAAGCAUGAUGUCUAAUUUAAUAACAUUCAAAGAAUCAUUAAUUUUUAACUAGUCACCUGACUGUUUAUACUGCUUAAAAACAUGAUGUCUAAUUUAAUGCCAGUCAAAGAAUCAUUAAUUUUUCACUAGUCACCUAUCUAUCUAUUUAUACUGUUUAAAAGCAUGAUGUCUAAUUUAAUGCUAGUCAAAGAAUCAUUAAUUUUUCACUAGUCACCUAUCUAUCUAUUUAUACUGUUUAAAAACAUGAUGUCUAAUUUAAUGCCAGUCAAAGAAUCAUUAAUUCUUAAGUAGUCACCCAACUAUUUAUAUUAUUUUAGGCCAGUAAAAAAAUAUUUACUUCUUCACUAAUCACCAAACUGUUUACACUGUUUAGAAAUAUGAUGUCUACUUUAAGGCCAGCAAAAAAAUCUUUAAUUCCUCACUAAUCACCGAACUGUUUAUGCUGCUUUAUUCUGUUAAAAGCACGGGGAACUUUUGUUUCUUGCAAAAUGAAUGUGCACUGUACAAUGAUUAAAACUGAAGACAUUUCAGUUUUAGUAUUACCUGGAUUCUAUCACUGUUUAAUAUAUAACCUUUGAACCUUACAUUUUGCAUGAGGCCAGUGCCUUUCACUAUUUGUUUUACAUUCACACUCAAACAUGGACCAUUAAAAAUAAUUUUAAUGAUUACACACGUAAAAAGGAAUGUAUUCUUUCCUUCUGAACAGUUCAGUUUCUUUUAGGUUCCUUACAGUUUUAUCAUCAAAAUUACUUAUAACAUUGCUAAUGACAGUAGAUUUUCUGUAUGUUCAUGAGUGAUAUGUUUCUUUAUCUUUGCAUGUUGAGUUUUAGAGGUAAAGGGAUAUUGAAAAUAUUUAAAAAGUAUAAGAGGCUUUUAUAGAGAAAGACUAUUAGGACAAUCUGAGAGUAUUAUUUUAGAGUCAAGAAUAAAUUUUACACAGAUAUUUAUGUUUAUAUAAUACAUCUUUAAAUGCAGGUCUCUAUGCUGCUUAUGUAAAGUUGCUUUAAAUGUGGAUUUUUGUGUGUAAAUAAAAGUUUUUUAAA
rnacentral:misc_RNA from 1 species